rnacentral:antisense_RNA from 1 species
UUGAGGGUAUACUGCCAAGUGUCCUCAGACUGCACCACGGUUUCAUCACCAAAAUGAUCGCCGUCGGCUAACACAUCCAAUACGACUUGCUCGUCAUACUUGCCAAGCCCAAUUUUGUUUACCUUACCAUGAGCAAUGAGGAUGAUCCGAUCAGCAGACUGACCAAGUUCGACGAUCACAUCAUCUGGGGCGUACUCUUGCUGCACAAACUGGUUCGCCAAAGAGGUUAACACAUCACUGUCGUCAAAUCCUCGCAGCAAAGGUAACUCAGUAAGUUCGUUGGGAAUCACCUGUACCGCCGCUCCAGUGUUGGUGAAGCUGACUCGCCCAUCACCAAGGGUAUAGGUGAAUCGACGGUUAACGCGAUAUAGACCACCUUUGGUUUGUACCCAGGGCAACAGUUUCAACAACCACCGGGAGGUAAUUUCCUGCAUCUGCGGUGCAGAUUUGGCUGUUGUUGCCAAAUUUUUGGCAGCAGCAGUACCUAAGCUUAACUGGGGCUGUUG